rnacentral:rRNA from 1 species
AUGGCAAGGUAUUGUUGGAGUAGUUCAGUUGACCGUAGAUCUCUGCACUGGAUCGAUUGGGACUCACUAACCAAGCCAAAGAUUGCAGGAGGGAUGGGGUUCAGAAACUUGGAAAUGUUCAACUUAGCUCUGCUUGGGAAACACGGGUGGAUGCUGAUCACGAAUCCGAAUCUCUCUGCUCGUGUCUUGAAAGGAAAGUAUUUUCCCGUUGGUGACUUCAUGGAUGCAACAAUCCCGAAGCAUGCAUCAGCCACUUGGAGAGCAAUAGUGGCGGGAAGAGAAGCCUUACGGAUGGGAUUACUAAAGAGAAUUGGAGAUGGUAUGAGUGUAUCAACAUGGAAUGAUAGCUGGUUCCGGGCCUUCUCACUCUUCGGCCUUUGGUGCAAAUCGGAGAUGCCGCUAUCCCUCUAG